GCCCCCAUCGUCUAGGGGACCAGGACAUCACCCUUUCAAGGUGAAGACGGGGGUUCGAAUCCCCCUGGGGGUACCA
rnacentral:tRNA from 1 species